AGCCUUGUGGUGUCUAGCACGUCAGAUUGCAAAUCUGAAAGAGCGGGCUAAUUGCCUGCCGGGGCUU
rnacentral:tRNA from 1 species